rnacentral:rRNA from 1 species
AUUGAACGCUGGCGGCAUGCCUUACACAUGCAAGUCGAACGGCAGCACGGGAGCAAUCCUGGUGGCGAGUGGCGAACGGGUGAGUAAUAUAUCGGAACGUGCCCGGUCGUGGGGGAUAACGUAGCGAAAGCUACGCUAAUACCGCAUACGAUCUAUGGAUGAAAGCGGGGGAUCGCAAGACCUCGCGCGAUUGGAGCGGCCGAUAUCAGAUUAGGUAGUUGGUGAGGUAAAGGCUCACCAAGCCGACGAUCUGUAGCUGGUCUGAGAGGACGACCAGCCACACUGGGACUGAGACACGGCCCAGACUCCUACGGGAGGCAGCAGUGGGGAAUUUUGGACAAUGGGCGCAAGCCUGAUCCAGCAAUGCCGCGUGCAGGAUGAAGGCCUUCGGUUGU